rnacentral:rRNA from 1 species
UUUGAACGCUGGCGGAAUGCUUUACACAUGCAAGUCGAACGGUAGAGGGGGCAACCCCUCGAGAGUGGCGAACGGGUGAGUAAUAUAUCGGAACGUGCCCAGUCGUGGGGGAUAACGUAGCGAAAGUUACGCUAGUACCGCAUACGAUCUAAGGAUGAAAGCGGGGGAUCGCAAGACCUCGCGCGAUUGGAGCGGCCGAUAUCAGAUUAGGUAGUUGGUGGGGUAAAGGCUCACCAAGCCAACGAUCUGUAGCUGGUCUGAGAGGACGACCAGCCACACUGGAACUGAGACACGGUCCAGACUCCUACGGGAGGCAGCAGUGGGGAAUUUUGGACAAUGGACGCAAGUCUGAUCCAGCCAUUCCGCGUGCAGGAUGAAGGCCCUCGGGUUGUAAACUGCUUUUGUACGGAACGAAAAGGUUUGGCCUAAUAAGCUGAGCUCAUGACGGUACCGUAAGAAUAAGCACCGGCUAACUACGUGCCAGCCGCCGCGGUAA